AACGCGAAGAACCUUACCAGGUCUUGACAUCCCGCUGACCGCUAUGGAGACAUAGCUUUCCCUUCGGGGACAGCGGUGACAGGUGGUGCAUGGUUGUCGUCAGCUCGUGUCGUGAGAUGUUGGGUUAAGUCCCGCAACGAGCGCAACCCUUGUUCUUAGUUGCCAUCAUUUAGUUGGGCACUCUAAGGAGACUGCCGGUGACAAACCGGAGGAAGGUGGGGAUGACGUCAAAUCAUCAUGCCCCUUAUGACCUGGGCUACACACGUGCUACAAUGGACGGUACAAACGGUUGCGAAGUCGCGAGAUGGAGCCAAUCCGAUAAAACCGUUCUCAGUUCGGAUUGUAGGCUGCAACUCGCCUACAUGAAGCCGGAAUCGCUAGUAAUCGCGGAUCAGCAUGCCGCGGUGAAUACGUUCCCGGGCCUUGUACACACCGUAGUAC
rnacentral:rRNA from 1 species